UACGAAGGGUGCAAGCGUUACUCGGAAUUACUGGGCGUAAAGCGUGCGUAGGCGGUUUGUUAAGUCCGCUGUGAAAGCCCUGGGCUCAACCUGGGAAUUGCAGUGGAUACUGGCAAGCUAGAGUGCGGUAGAGGAGUGGUGGAAUUCCCGGUGUAGCGGUGAAAUGCGUAGAGAUCGGGAGGAACACCCGUGGCGAAGGCGGCCAUCUGGACCAGCGCUGACGCUGAGGCACGAAAGCGUGGGGAGCAAACAGGG
rnacentral:rRNA from 1 species